CAGUGGGUAAGGUUAGCACAGCCAGAAAGGAGGCCCCGAAAAUGCUUGGUGCUUACACAAAGCUGCCAUCUGUCAAGAAGUGCUGGCCACUUAAACCUGGAGUGACUCAUACAGUCACUAAUUAAUCCCGGAAGGCAGCAGGAGCUAAGUGGAAAUGCAUUCUUUUAAAGAGAUGGAAGGAAAUUGGCCCCUACAAGGGAAAAUGAAAUCGUGGCUCUAGCUUUUUUCCUGGUGGCUUCCAGUCACCUGUCACUCACUGAAUAAUGCAUCCCCCUGGGAGGCUGGCUGGUGUGCAGGAGGAGCUGUGAGUGGCAGCGCAGCCUUUCCCUGGUAACAUCAGUGGACUGCGAAGCGGAAAUAGCGCAAGUGAGCCUCUCGCCCUCUCCUCCACUGAGGAUAGAACAAAGAAGAAACCAAUAUCCGGAUAAGUAUGCCCAGACGGACCUCCUGCUGGCCUGUCUCCUGAUAGAGGGCACCCACUGGGGAACCAGUCCCUUAGACUCAAUCACACAGCAGGGGGCCCGCAGAGGAAUCCACUGUGGUUCUUAGGAUAGAGGCUGUUAGAACAGAGCUGGGUACCCCUCUUUUGUUCCUCUGUGUUUUAUUCUGCCAUGUCAUAAUAAAUAAGCAGACGAUUUCUCCAAAGUCAGAAAGUAUCGGUGGCGUAUUUUUCAGGGGCUUGGGCUUGCUGUUAUGCUGAGGAAAAUCCUCAAGGUUUCACGAGAGGCUGCACUCAGUUUAGGCAAUAGCAGAGAAAUAACAAAUUCCAUGGCAACAGAGAAGCGGGGGGCUGUCAGGAACCUCGGUUAGGCCUUCCUCAGGGUGGGCAGCGGGUAACAUUCACUGAAGUCCACAUGACAUACAUCCAAAACACUAACGCCUGGAUUGCUUCAAGAGUACU